UGGCUCAGGAUGAACGCUAGCUACAGGCUUAACACAUGCAAGUCGAGGGGCAGCAUUGGGAUAGCUGCUAUUCCAGAUGGCGACCGGCGCACGGGUGAGUAACGCGUAUCCAACCUUCCCUAUAGUAGAGAAUAGCCCGGCGAAAGUCGGAUUAAUGCUCUAUGUUGUGUUUUGAGGACAUCUGACGAACACCAAAGGUUCACCGCUAUAGGAUGGGGAUGCGUCUGAUUAGCUUGUUGGCGGGGUAACGGCCCACCAAGGCGACGAUCAGUAGGGGUUCUGAGAGGAAGGUCCCCCACAUUGGUACUGAGACACGGACCAAACUCCUACGGGAGGCAGCAGUGAGGAAUAUUGGUCAAUGGGCGAGAGCCUGAACCAGCCAAGUAGCGUGCAGGAAGGACUGCCCUAUGGGUUGUAAACUGCUUUUAUCAGGGAAUAAAGUGCGGCACGUGUGCCGUUUUGUAUGUACCUGAUGAAUAAGGACCGGCUAAUUCCGUGCCAGCAGCUGC
rnacentral:rRNA from 1 species